GUCGGGCGAAGGAGUUUUCCUCCUCCAUCCUUAGCGGCGGGCCGGGUGAGUUAACCGGGUGGAUAACCUCCCGAUAAGGCGGGGAUAACUUGGGGGAAACCGGAGUCUAAUGCCGGGAUAAUAUUUUUAACCGCAUGGUUUCUAUGGUGAGAGGUCGGUUUUGUUUUUGUUAUAGAUGGUCUCCGCCGUCUUAGUAGUUGGUAGGGUUACGGCUUCCAAGGCGGCGAUUGUAUCCGACUUGAGAGGGUGUCCUCCCCCUUGACUGAGACGCGGUCCAUACUCCUCGGGAGGCCACAGUAGGGAAAUUUUGCCAAUGGGGGAAUCCUGACGGCGCACCCCCCCGGGAGAGAUAAAGGUCUUCGGGUCGUAAAACUCUGUUAUUAGGGAAGAACAGAUGUGUAAGUAACUAUGCCCGUCUUGACGGUUCCUCAUCAGAAAACCACGGGUUUUUCGUGCCCCCACCCCCGGUAAUACGUAGGUGGCAAGCGUUUUCCGGAAUUAUUGGGUUAAAGCGCGCGUAGGCGGUUUUUUAAGUUUGAUGUGAAAACCCCCGGCUCAACCCGGAGGGUCCCUGGAAACGGGAAAACCUGAGUUCAGAAAAGGAAAGUGGAAUUCCAAGGUAACGGUGAAAACGCAGAGAUAUGGAGGAACACCAGUGGCGAAGGCGGCUCUCUGGUCCGUAACCGACCCUGAAGGCGAAAACGUGGGGAUCAAACAGGAUUAGAUACCCCGGUAGUCCCCACCCGGCAACCCUAAAUAAGGGGGGGG
rnacentral:rRNA from 1 species